rnacentral:rRNA from 1 species
UACGUAGGCAGCGAGCGUUGUUCGGAGUUACUGGGCGUAAAGGGUGUGUAGGCGGCCCCCUAAGUUUGGUGUGAAAUCUCCCGGCUCAACCGGGAGGGUGCGCCGAAAACUGGAGGGCUAGAGUGCGGGAUGGGAGAGUGGAAUUCCUGGUGUAGCGGUGAAAUGCGUAGAUAUCAGGAGGAACACCGGUGGUGCAGACGGCUCUCUGGACCGUAACUGACGCUGAGACACGAAAGCGUGGGUAGCAAACAGG